rnacentral:rRNA from 1 species
GGAGGGGUGCAAGCGUUAAUCGGAAUUACAGGGCGUAAAGCGAGUGUAGGCGGGUUACAUAAGUCGGAUGUGAAAGCCCUGGGGCUUAACCUGGGAAUGGCAUUCGAUACUGUGUAACUAGAGUUUGGUAGAGGUAAGUGGAAUUCCGGGUGUAGCGGUGAGAUGCGUAGAGAUCCGGAGGAACAUCAGUGGCGAAGGCGGCUUACUGGACCAAAACUGACGCUGAGGCUCGAAAGCGUGGGGAGCAAACAGGAUUAGAUACCCUGGUAGUCCACGCCCUAAACGAUGUCAACUAGCUGUUGGGCUCAUUAAGGAGCUUAGUGGCGAAGCUAACGCGUUAAGUUGACCGCCUGGGGAGUACGGCCGCAAAGGUUG